rnacentral:rRNA from 1 species
GACGAACGCUGGCGGCAAGCUUAACACAUGCAAGUCGAACGCCGUAGCAAUACGGAGUGGCAGACGGGUGAGUAACACGUGGGAACGUGCCUUUCGGUUCGGAACAACUGCGGGAAACUUCAGCUAAAACCGGAUACGCCCUUCGGGGGAAAGUUUACGCCGAAAGAUCGGCCCGCGUCAGAUUAGGUAGUUGGCGGGGUAAUGGCCCACCAAGCCGAUGAUCUGUAGCUGUUCUGAGAGGAAGAUCAGACACACUGGGACUGAGACACGGCCCAGACUCCUACGGGAGGCAGCAGUGGGGAAUAUUGGACAAUGGGCGCAAGCCUGAUCCAGCUAUGCCGCGUGGAUGAAGAAGGCCUUCGGGUUGUAAAGUCCUUUCGGCGGGGAAGAUAAUGACGGUACCCGCAGAAGAAGCCCCGGCUAAUUUCGUGCCAGCCGCCGCGGUAAUAC